rnacentral:tRNA from 7 species
GCAGAAUUAGUAUAAUGGUAGUACGAGACCUUCCCAAGGUUUAGGCACGGGUUCGAUUCCCGUAUUCUGCUCCA